AUACUUACCUGGCAGGGGAGAUACCAUGAUCACGAAGGUGGUUUUCCCAGGGCGAGGCUUAUCCAUUGCACUCCGGAUGUGCUGACCCCUAAAAAAAAAUUAAAAAAAAUAAAAAAAAUAAAGUAUAUUUAUAUUUAUUUUCUCUUCUUUCUUAUAUAAAUGUUAGCAUGCUAUAUA
rnacentral:snRNA from 1 species